rnacentral:rRNA from 1 species
AACGAACGUUGGCGGCGUGCCUAACACAUGCAAGUCGAGCGCGGGCAGGACUUCGGUACCUGUUCCGAGCGGCGCGCGGGUGAGUAACACGUGAGUAACCUGCCUCGAAGUUUGGGAUAACCGCCCGAAAGGGUGGCUAAAUACCGGAUAAGCCCCCACUGGCACAGGCCAGAGAGGGAAAAGCCUUGGCGCUUCGAGAUGGGCUCGCGUCCCAUUAGCUAGUUGGUGAGGUAACGGCUCACCAAGGGCGAAGUACUGGGUAAGCUGGUCUGAGAGGAUGAUCAGCCACACUGGAACUGAGACACGGUCCAGACUCCUACGGGA